UGCUACCAUGGGUGGAUGUUUGAGAUGC
rnacentral:piRNA from 1 species